rnacentral:tRNA from 1 species
GAGGGUAUAGCUUAGUGGUAGAGCACAUGCUUUGCAUGCAAGAGGUCCUGGGUUCAAUCCCCAGUACCUCCA